rnacentral:rRNA from 1 species
GACGGAAGGUGCAAGCGUUGCUCGGAAUCACUGGGCGUAAAGGGUGCGUAGGCGGCCUGGUAAGUCUGGCGUGAAAGCCCAGGGCUCAGCCCUGGAAGGGCGCUAGAAGCUGCGAGGCUCGAGUGCCGGAGGGGAGAGUGGAAUUCCUGGUGUAGCGGUGAAAUGCGUAGAUAUCAGGAGGAAUACCGGUGGCGAAAGCGACUCUCUGGACGGUAACUGACGCUGAGGCACGAAAGCGUGGGGAGCAAACAGG